rnacentral:tRNA from 1 species
AGACGCUUAGUUUAAUAAAAACAUUUGAUUUCGGCUCAAAAGCUUGCGGUUCGAAUCCGCAAUUGUCUA